CCUACGGGAGGCAGCAGUAGGGAAUUUUCCGCAAUGGGCGAAAGCCUGACGGAGCAAUACCGCGUGAGGGAUGACUGCCUAUGGGUUGUAAACCUCUUUUUUCAGGGAGGAAUAAAUGACGUGUACCUGAAGAAUAAGCAUCGGCUAACUCCGUGCCAGCAGCCGCGGUAAGACGGAGGAUGCAAGUGUUAUCCGGAAUCACUGGGCGUAAAGCGUCUGUAGGUGGCUCGACAAGUCAACUGUUAAAUCUUGAAGCUCAACUUCAAAAUCGCAGUCGAAACUAUCGGACUAGAGUAUAGUAGAGGUAAAGGGAAUUUCCAGUGGAGCGGUGAAAUGCGUAGAGAUUGGAAAGAACACCGAUGGCGAAGGCACUUUACUGGGCUAUUACUGACACUCAGAGACGAAAGCUAGGGUAGCAAAUGGGAUUAGAUACCCCAGUAGUCCUAGCCGUAAACAAUGGAUACUAGGUGUUGAACAGAUCGACCUGUGCAGUACCAAAGCUAACGCGUUAAGUACCCCGCCUGGGAAGUAUGCACGCAAGUGUGAAACUCAAAUGAAUUGACGGNNGAGACGNGCGAGACGACGACGAGGGAGAGG
rnacentral:rRNA from 1 species